CAGGAAAGACAGGAACUUAUUCUUAAUGGCACACAGAAUUCUUAACCUGCAAGGUGUAUUUUUUCCUGUUUUGAUCUCACAAAAACUAUGAGAUUUGAACGUAAAUGGGUAAGACUAGAAAAGGUUAUACUGAGUGAUGUAAUCUAGACCCAGAAAACAAACACUUCAUUCUCUUUCAUCUGUGGCUCUAGCUCCACAUCUUCAGAUGUGAGUGUGGCUCUCAUCCCUCAUCAAGAAUGCCCCCCACCCAGAAGACAGAGACCGCUCCAGAAAGACACAGCCAGUCACAAUGCAGAAGACAACACACCACGGGGUACCUAAGGCUCAGAGGACACAGUGGAAGAGGGAGCAAAAGGACCGUCCAACUCCUCAAAACAUUUUAAACAUCAGGAAAGCAGUUGGAAAAACAGGACUUCUGCUCUACACACUUGGAAUCACUGAAAAUGGUGCGUCAGAAUGUGAACGUGUACCAAAUUCAACAUAAAACCACAGACAAGGGAGCUGGAGAGCUGGUUCGAGGAUACGAGCAUUAACUGCUCUUCCAGAGGUCCUGAGUUCAAUUCCCAGCAACCACAUGGUGGCUCACAGCCAUCUAAAAUGAGAUCUGAUGCCCUCUUCUGGUGUGCAGGGAAACAUGUAGAUAGAACACUGCAUACAUAAUAAACAAGUCUUAAAAAACAAAAAAGCACAGACCAAUAAGGCAAAUUCAAGUUAUUCUGUCAUCUAAACGAUGGCAGGCCAUCUCAUAGGCUUGUGGGAUCUGAGCUGGUCAUGGCAUGCACAUUCCUGUUCCCUCUCUUCUUUCCCUGUUCUUUCAUCCUCUUGAUGUUUCCCUACUGCACAUCAUGCUAAAUGUUAUUAUUCAUGUAAAACUGGGCUUCCGAGGACAUUAAAGAAUGAGGUCAGUUAAAGCUACUUGGGCUUGGGGUCAGAGUAGGGUUGUAGUGUGGCUGUGGACAGGAAUGGAUGGCCUUUCUCUUCUCCAGUUUAGCAAGGCUGAGACACAGCCAGUGGAAGAACUGUCCUAGUGUGGCAGAAGUCUUGAGUUUAAUCCCUAGAGCCCUGAAGACAAAGCUGAAAAAUCAAAAACACACACACACAUACAUACAUACACACACACACACACAC